AAUAAAUGUAGUUUUGCACUGUUCAUGUCCAACGUUUGACCGUUCGUCUUAUUUGAAUUUUUUUAUGUUGAGUAUUUUUAUUGUUAUUAGAUGAUAAAACGGAAUAGUACUUUAUGUGUGACUUUUUUUUAUUUUUCAUAAAUUCUUAAAAUAAGAUGGACGGUCAAAUAUCGGACACAGAUACCCAUGGCUAGGGGUGAA
rfam:Oryza meridionalis cultivar OR44 (W2112) chromosome 8, whole genome shotgun sequence.